GUUGAGUUGAGUUGAGUUGAGUACAGUAUGGUAAGAUGGUGCUUGGCCUAUAUACAAUUAUACAAUCUUAAGUGUCCUACAUUUACAUAGCACGUUUGCUCCCAGUUAAUGAUAUGGAUAACCCACUCAAACCAUAGCACAUUUCAUGAUGAGUAAAGUUCCACAAUCCACAUUCCCUUUUUAUUCCAUAAAACCGAACAACCUGUGCUCCAGGUAAAUUUUCAUUGUGCACUAAAACUAGUAAUUUAAGCAUUCUCAGGAACAAGACAGAGGCCAGAGAUUGAGGUAACAUUUAGCAAGGAAGCUCUAUCUUAUACUUGAUGCAAUAUUAAAUUGGAUGGUCCUUUCAGAAAGUUACCCUACAAACACAAUUCUAAAAAUAUAUUACAGUAAAAAAUAUUCAUGCACAACAAAGAAACAACAUAAACUGUCUUGGAUCCAUCAUGAUUCAUGAGAAUGAUGAAAGCUUGUGAGAAAGGCAUCUAGACAAUGAAUGAGGAAAAAAAAAGAAAAAGAAAAGCAAACGAAAAGGAGAAAAAUAUGAUGACAAAGCAUUGGAGCUGACAGUAUAAUUUAGUUUAAGAAUAAGCAAUCAGGCUUUGAUGUACCAAAACAGCAAAGUGCAGUCCUA
rnacentral:misc_RNA from 1 species